UCAUAUGCUCUACUCCCCUUUCUUCACCUGUUUCACCGGCCAAUCCCUUACCACCGGAAACUAUAACCUGUUUUCAAAAAGUGCGCACAUCAACUAAUUAAGAAUUUUUUUUUUUUAAAGGGAUACACACCUAAAAACAAACUAAAAACAUAAUAAACAGGAACAUCGGUUUACAUAAUUUGAUAUAUGUAUAUAACUUUUUUUUCUUCCAUUCGGAACGUACUCACAGGUUCCGAAUGCUAUUUGCAUGCUGCAUUAAGCACUAUUGGGAUUAUUGUGAGAUAUGCGCAUGCGUCAUUGUGGUUCAUUGCAUUUUUUUGCAGGCGAUAAUUUACACUGUUAUUAAUGUAUUUUUAAAAUGUGAACUUUCGGUAUUUUAAAUGAGAUGUACUUUUAAAACACCAAGACACAUCUCAAAAUAAUGCAACAUUCAGCAUGACACGGUAAUUAAUGCUUUUAGAUGUGUCGUGCAUUUAUAUGCAGAGCAGAUUAAAUUACAUCAGGAUUGGCUAUCCUGCGCAGUGAAGUAUAGAACAAUUUCAGUCUUGAGGUGGCUGAUGAUGGCAUGGAAUAGUAAAACAAUAUAACAAGACCUUAUUUUUCUCCAUGGAUAUUGUGAAGCAAAAUACCACUAAGUUAAAGAAAAACAGACGUUUCAGUGCGACUGUGAUCAGACCAUGUGGAACCAGACACAGCUGGUGAUUGAUAGUGGAAGACAAGGGAUGCAGAGGAUUGUGUCAUCUGAAAAGGACCUGCACUCCAGUGGACUGAGGUUCUGAGUAAGGACAACCCCAGCACUCCCAGAGAUUCAAAGCUGAGGCCAAAGCUAUUUACACCUUUCUUCCUAAUUCUCUUUCCAUGCAUGUAACUUCCUAAACUGCUUACAGCACUCCUUUUCUUGGUGUCAGGUCAGGUGUUGAGUCUGGGUUGCGUGGAAGCACCACAGUUUGAAUGUGCAAGGAAGAGCACGCAUUUGGAAGGGGAGUGGAGGCAAACUUUCAAACAGAGAGCGGUGGGUGUCUGGAAUGGGAUGCCAAGCCAUGUUGCUGCUGUUGAUUCAUUGGAAUCCUGCAAGAGCCAACUGGAUCCUGGAAUCAAUUAUAACUGAUUGAGCAUUGAUGAGCCAAAUGGUUUCAGCUUGUUUGUAUCUUUUAUAAAUGUUCUUAUGUAUAAAGUAACGUCUGUCUGCUCUGAAAAUGUAGCACGUCUCUUUUGGCAGUGGGCGCAUGUUGGUCUCUGAAUCUGAAGACCGUGGUUUGAUACUCAUUCACUAUUGUACACUAUCUACCCAUUCCAGCAUUGCCUUGUAUGAGCACACUUUGAGAAAACAAGCAAACCAACCAAUACAAAAUCAAAGCAGAGGCGUUGUUCUAAUUUUCUAACAUCGCACAAAGGCAAUUUGGAAUAAAUCACGAUGACCACCAGUCAACGACAGCACUGAAUCCCCCCUGACCAGCCGGAUAUGAUUCAGACUGGAAUUGACCAGAUCCAAAUCUUUUCUGUUCUGCAUUCUCCUGAUUUCUGGAGAAGAUGUCAGGAUACGUUGACACAGACUAGAAACAAAACCUGCUAUCAGUGCUGCACUGUUCAGAACUCCAGCGGCCUUCCGAAGGAGAAGGGCGACCCCAUCAUGCCUGGGUCUUGUCAUGACUGGGUCUUGUCAUGCCUGUAAGGUAAAUCAGAACAGGGGCAAACUGAAAAGGCAACAUAGGUCCAUUCACAGUCACAACUGCAGCUUAAUGGCUUUGAAAUUGCAUUAAAUAGCAAAGAAUGCCACGUGAUAUAUGGGUAUGUUUAAUCACCUUUCACGUACUGUAUGAUUCAAGCCAGUGUCGUCAACCAUAUUGAUAUAUGAGAAUACAGUGUACCAGAAACUCAAUAUGGUCCAAUUGAUGUCAUGGAAAGGAUUUGUUUCUGACGUGUCAUGUGGCAUACGGCCUGCAAGACGCACACCCUGAUUGACUGAAGGCUCCUCAACAAAUAUAUGACGGCAGAACAUAUUCCUUUAGGUGCCACUCCCUUUCAAACCAUCUUUCUACCAUCUUAACUCUGUGACAGGUGUGGAGCGGUAAUGCACACCAGGGGCGGCCGGUUAACAGUGUUCGCUUGCUCGCCGAACCCCCAGUCUCUUAUUAAUGAAUUGCACUUCCCUUCUUCUGGGUGAUGUGCGUUUCAUUUCCCCCCUCUCACGUGACACAUCAACAAUAAUAAUAAUAUAUUUUAUAUAUUUUGGCAAAGGGGGCGCUCAUUGGACUCUGAAUCUGAAGACUGUGGUUUGAUACUCAUUCACGAUUGUACACUAUCUACCAUUCCAGCAUUUCCUUGUAUGAGCACACUUUGAGAAAACAAGCAAACCAACCAAUACAAAAUCAAAGCAGAGGCGUUGUUCUACUUUUCUAACAUCGCACAAAGGCAAUUUGGAAUAAACCACGAUGACCACCAGUCAACGACAGCACUGAAUCCCCCCUGACCAGCCGGAUCCGAUCCAGACUGGAAUUGACCAGAUCCAAGCAUCUUUUCUGUUCUGCAUUCUCCUGAUUUCCUGAUAGGGCAACAGUGUGGAGUAGUGGUUAGGGCACUGGACUCUUGACCGGAGGGUCGUGGGUUCAGUCCCAGGUGGAGGACACUGCUGCUGUACCCUUGAGCAAGGUACUUUAUCUAGAUUGCUCCAGU